CCCUUAGAUGUUCUGGGCUGCACGCGCGCUACACUGAUGCACUCAACGAGUUUACGACCUUGCCCGAUAGGGUUGGGUAAUCUUUUUAAAAUGCAUCGUGAUGGGGAUAGAUUAUUGCAAUUAUUAAUCUUCAACGAGGAAUUCCUAGUAAGCACGAGUCAUCAGCUCGUGCUGAUUACGUCCCUGCCCUUUGUACACACCGCCCGUCGCUCCUACCGAUUGAGCGAUCCGGUGAAUAAUUCGGACUGCGGCAUUGACCGGUUCCCGAUCGUUGCUGCGGAAAGUUUAGUGAACCUUAUCACUUAGAGGAAGGAGAAGUCGUAACA
rnacentral:rRNA from 1 species